rnacentral:lncRNA from 1 species
GAGUCAAAUCAGGGUACACCCUUUCAUGCCAUUACCCCACUUGCGACCUAUGCAUUGGAUAGGCUCACAUCAUCUAGCAUCCCCUGAUUGAUUGCAUGCCACAUAGCUCUAAAUGAUGGGAUAGCCGGAAUGACUUUUCGCCCCUUUUCGCUUGAUUUUAGUUUUCUCCCAUUAAUAGAGGAGCAGAGAGGGCUCUCGGAGAAUGCACAAAUAGUGAGCCAUCUGGACAUUAGGCUCG